rnacentral:rRNA from 1 species
UACGAAGGGGGCUAGCGUUGCUCGGAAUCACUGGGCGUAAAGCGCACGUAGGCGGAUUUGUAAGUCAGGGGGUGAAAUCCCGGGGCUCAACCUCGGAACUGCCUUUGAUACUGCAAAUCUCGAGUCCGAUAGAGGUGGGGUGGAAUUCCUAGUGUAGAGGUGAAAUUCGUAGAUAUUAGGAAGAACACCGGUGGCGAAGG